rnacentral:lncRNA from 1 species
UUCUCUGCCUUCCAUCCUCCAGGCAUUUGUCAUACUGUCUCUGCUCAGUAAAGGACUAUUUGAAGGAACACUAAAGCACUGACCUGGCUGGGGUAUCUGCCCAUGAAACCAUGAACCCAACACUUCCUCACAGGCUUGAGAAGAUGCAUGGAUGCUGUGUGAGAAUAGAGUUGGAUCUGAGACAUCCACAGUUUACUGAGUCUUCCUGGUCCCUUAACUGAUGUGGACACCGCCAGUGCAAGGAUGAGACAACUUGAGCAUGUAGGGGCUGCAAAGACGGGCUGGGCCCAAGGUCAC